rnacentral:rRNA from 1 species
GACGAACGCCGGCGGCGUGCCUAAUACAUGCAAGUCGAACGCUUCUUUCCUCCCGAUUGCUUGCACUCAAUUGGAAAGAGGAGUGGCGGACGGGUGAGUAACACGUGGGUAACCUACCCAUCAGAGGGGGAUAACACUUGGAAACAGGUUCUAAUACCGCAUAACAGUUUAUGCCGCAUGGCAUAAGAGUGAAAGGCGAUUUCGGGUGUCGUUGAUGGAUGGACCCGCGGUGCAUGAGCUAGUUGGUGAGGUAACGGCUCACCAAGGCCACGAUGCAUAGCCGAACUGAGAGGGUGAUCGGCCACAUUGGGACUGAGACACGGCCCAGACUACUAAGGGAGGCAGCAGUAGGGAAUCUGCGGCAAUGGACGAAAGUCUGACCGAGCAACGCCGCGUGAGUGAAGAAGGUUUUCGGAUCGUAAAACUCUGUUGUUAGAGAAGAACAAGGACGUUAGUAACUGAACGUCCCCUGACGGUAUCUAGCCAGAAAGCCACGGCUAACUACGUG